UUCAUUGGAAAAAUGGCAUCGACGUUUCUUCCAUUUUUAUACUAUAUGCAUAUACUAUAUGCAAUAUAUAUAUAUGUUUAUAUAUGUGAGUCAUGAAUUUCUUCUUAACCUUAAAGAUUGUAUUUUGCGACAUCAAAGUGAAAAGAAUAAAUUUUUAUUAUAUCUUAUAUAUGUCAGUAUAUCUGAAGAGGUUGGGAUAAUGUAAGGAUCGAAAAAAUUUUGAAAAAAAUUGUUUGUAUUUAAAGGUUGUAUCACACUUAUUGACAAAUUAAUCAUUCGAAAUUUCUUUAUAUUUUUUUUAUCUUUCUUAAUACAAGUACUUCUUAAUACAAGUACGUAUAGGUUAUGUUAUUAUUUUUAGAUCCAAUCUGGGAGAAUGAGAAAUGUUAAAAUCAACGACAAAUCUGUAAAAAAAAAAGGAAAACGUAGAAUUUAUUGGCAUCCAUUUUCGAGAUGGAAGUCGUCGAUUCCAGGAUGAAAAGAAGCCACCAACACCACACUUAAGCUUCUCCCAUGCGACGAUAGGGGUAAUCGGCGAAGAUUCCAAUUACCUUCGAUUCUCGCCAAUUCCAACUCGUCCACCAUUUGGAUAUUUCAAAUUGCCACUUUUUUUUAUUAUAUUUGGGGACGUUUGUCGGAUUAACAGAGGACGAAGAUGAAAAAUGAGGAUGAGAAGAUAAUUUUCGCUUUCCUAUUUUCUAAUUAUUCAUGACUUUUGCGUGAAGCGGAAUGUUUACUGUUAAUUUGUAAUUAACACUGCUUGGAUUCCGCCAUUGUUGGAUUUUUAAUAUCGAUGAAAAUGAAAAGACGUAAUUUUCUGUGUACACAGAGAUUAGGAUUUUUUCUCAUUAUCUUAGCAGAGUGCAAAGUUUAUUUUAUUACUGUUCGCGGAGGAAUUCGCAAUUUCGCUCGUGCAUUCUUGAAUUUUGAAACUACCAUUUUUGGGGAUGUAUUUAUCGAAUCAAUAAAGAAGGUGGAA